UACGGGGGGGGCAAGCGUUGUUCGGAAUUACUGGGCGUAAAGGGCGCGUAGGCGGCCUGCUAAGUCGGACGUGAAAUCCCUCGGCUCAACCGGGGAACUGCGUCCGAUACUGGUGGGCUCGAAUCCGGGAGAGGGAUGUGGAAUUCCAGGUGUAGCGGUGAAAUGCGUAGAUAUCUGGAGGAACACCGGUGGCGAAGGCGGGACUCUGGGCCGAUACUGACGCUGAGGAGCGAAAGCGUGGGGAGCAAACAGG
rnacentral:rRNA from 1 species